GGAUGGUGUUCACUAUAGUCUUCACUAUUCUCUCCUCCGUCAUCUCCUUUAUUUUGGUUUAUCACUUCUGUCAGGAAACAGACAAAGAAUCUCAAGUUCUCCAGGAAAGACCAGACACCAGGGGACAAACGAGACGGGAUCAGGAUGAAGACGCGUGUUUCACACGAGUUGUGUUCCGGGCUAAGGAUGGACAAACACGCCAAUAGGCAGAGGGUGGACGGCACAAGCACGCCUGCUUUACUCAAGCAGAAAACCAAAUGAAGUGAAAUGAUUUCCACUUCCUCUUGUUUGUUGUCCUGUGGUUUAAGAAACGCCUCAAGCAAGUGGGUGCAGGCUUUUGGGCCAAUCUGUUAUCAGGCUUAUAAUCAACCAGACAGCAAUGGUC